AAUUCAGCCCGGUGCCUCCUACCCGCAAGUUUUAUCUGACAAAUGGGUCUCAUUUCUGAUUCUAGUCUCCUUUUGAUGGACCAGACUGUCUGCUACCUGGGAGAGGUUCAUAGAUCUGAAAGGCCGGAAGGAAGCAUUACAUUUCUUCUCCUUUGCCUCCUAUUAAGAAUGUGCCAGAGACGCUAAUCCCGCAUUUGAAUUUCAGCCAGGUAGCUGGAAGGGAUGGCUCAGCACCCAGCUCUGAUGGACAACCCAGCGCCGCUUCUCUUCGCGCCUUCCUGUGCUUCUCUUGCCUUUGGGCAGGAGGGAGGGGUCACCGGCGAGAGGAGCUUCCUCUGAAGCCGUCUCUUUCUUCACAAGGCAGAUGAGGAUGUUUUUCUGCAUUUCUGACGAAAUUUCUUCCCUUCAGAAGAAAAUGUGGCUGGUUUUGCAAUCGGCUCCCUCCUGGUAAUGAAAGCGGUGGGGCGACAGGGGGACAGCAGCAGGGGAAUCGGGGCUCACAUUCUGACAGCCGUAUACGAUAACAUCUCAGACACCUUCGUUUAUGCAGCUUAAACCACGUAAGUGGGUAAGACACGAUGUCCCCAUAGGCCAGCUGUGCCUUGCAAGCCGUAUGGUGUCUCAGCAUCUCAGGCACCUCUGCAGUGCACCCCUGCUAUUGCACUGAGCGCGUGCCUGACUCCGUAUCAGCUGCUACACCGCCCUCCUCUGAAGAGGAAUAUGGAUUACUGACCUGCUGAGAUGCAGCUCGGCUGCGCCUACAUUCCUCAUCCUGAAUUAUUUUUUCUUUGGUUGACAUUUGCAAGAGGGAUGGUGCUACUUGCAGAGGGACCUGCAGGGACACCGUGGGACUGCCCGCAGCACAGCUCCUCUGGCACUGCCUGGGCAGGGAACCCCGCAGUCCAGCACAAGCCAGCUCCCACCAGCACAUCAGCCUCUUGCAGUGUCUGGAUCCGAGCUGUUGCUAAUGAGGAUGGUGCUCAUCAUGUGAUCGUGCCUUUGGGCAAGGGUGGUGGUGCUGCUAAUUGGCUUCUCUGGCUGCGGUUUCCUUAGGAAACAAGGUGGAACCAAAGGAUGUGGGUGCACCUCUGCUAUGAUCUCUCCCGGUGUGUUGGUCCUGCGGCCCAGCCCUGGAUCAACACGUUUUCUAUCUUGUGUAUUUGAUCACCAGAGCUAUGAAAAUUGUGAAAUGAAGUUCUCCCGGCUAAAUCAAAUAGAAAGGAAGUGGCUUUGUAUCAAACCACUGAAUUAACACAAUUAUCAUAUCGAUUAAAUC
ensembl:lncRNA